CGUGAGGGAUGUCGCGGGUGAGUGGUGUCGAGGCCUGUUGGGUCAGGGCGGUUCGCAGGUGCUGUCAGAGCUGGGCGGGGCAGCCGGGUCGUAGAGGCGGGCGCCAGUCGCGGUCGGUGGAGAGGGAUGAGGAUGUAGGAGGGACGGACGUGGCGGAAGCCGCGGGGACUGCGGGGGCGGAGUGCCUCUGGGGAGCCAGGGAGGCCUUUCCAGAGGCUCCUGGGGGAAGAAGAGGCGAAGCGAGAGUCCCCGGGGAAGCCCUACUCCACCCCCAGCCGGAGCCUGGGUUGUGCCUGCACGGACCAGAGCCCACAGUGCGAGUUGCUGUAGGCAACCAGCUAGGGUGGCCAACUUCUCCCGGUUGGCCCGAGAUGUUCUGGUUUUGGGACCACAGCGUCCCAGGCCUCCAGCCCACCACAGUGACCAUAUUGUGCGCCCCCUGCCCAUCUUCUCCCGCAGCUUCCCUAGAUUAGGCUUGGGAGGCAAGGGGAGGCCUCCUGACUUUUCUCACUGCCUUCGUUAAUAUAAAGAUGAAGGCACACUCCACAACUUCCUUCUGGCCAGGCCCAGACAUGUCUGUCCUUGUGAGAUAAAAGCUUCCAUGGGAGCCUUCCUUCCUAAUCAAGGUAGGUAGACCACUGGAAGGUACAUCUGGUUUUAUAUUUUGUCCUGUAGAAGUCAGAUUUCAGCCCAGUUGUGUAGGAGUGAGGAUGAGCUUAUGCUCUUAUCAGAGCUUUGAGUACAGAGACAUUUGAUCUGGAAUUUCAGCCAGCCUCUUCAACCCCAGAAUUCAGAGGUUCAAUCAGAACAGACAUUAGCUUAAGUUUUCCCAUCAGUUGUCUAUCAUUAAACUGGCAAAAUCUAGAUAAUUAGAAAAUAUGACAGAGAUGAUCCAGACAGAGAUGUUCAGGUUUUUCCUUGUGUAAUUCAAAAAGUCUCGUGGUGGAACAUCUGACCCUUUUCAAGAGGAAGGAUGAAAACUCUACAUAGGAACACGAUGUGAAUGGAAGAAACCUGUCAUUAUGCAAAUAGUACGGUAUUCCGAACAGACACUAAAAAUAGCUGUCAUCUCAAAGAAUCCAGUGCUUGUGUCACAGUAUGAGAAAGUAGAUGCUGGGGAACAGCGUUUAAUGAAUGAAGCAUUCCAGCCAGCCAGUGAUCUCUUUGGACCUUGCAUUCUCCAUCAGAUUGGAUCACCUCCCACCCUGAGGCCCCCCAAGACUUUGAACAGUUCUUCAGUCAUCCUUACAGAAAGAUACCCUCUCCAGACAAACGCAGUAUUUAUAUACGGUCCAUUGGUAAAUACUGGUAAUGUGCUAGUUUUGGUUCGGUUUUGCAAUGGUUCUGUUGUCAGGAAUAGUCCGGGCUAUUGGUCUGAUUCAGAUGGGCCAUUUUAGGAUCAUUUUUGAUAUUCAUUGCAAUGGUACAAGUUUUGUAGCCAAACAGACCUAGAACAUUUUUUUUUAAUUCAUAUCAACACCGAUGAAUGUUAAAGGUGUAUUGAAAAUUUAGAGUUGGUUUUGUUUCUAAUUUGAAUCCUCUUACUCAUAGACUGGGUAAACACUGAAUAAUCGUCUUAAAGUCUGUUUUUAAAUGUUCUUCCAUAUUAUAGGAUCUCUAUGAAGCACCAGAAUUAUCAGUGAAGAAUAUAUUAAAUGGCUCACGGGCUACUGUAAAGCAUAUUUCUAUCGCUUGAGAGUAAAACUGCUAGAACCAGUUCCUGUUUCUACAACAAGGUGUUCCUUUAGAGUCAAUGAGAACACACAAAACCUACAAAUUCAUGCAGGGGACAUCCUGAAGUUCUUGAAAAAGAAGAAACCUGAAGAUGCCUUCUGUGUUGUGGGAAUAACAAUGAUUGAUCUUUACCCAAGAGACUUGUGGAAUUUUGUCUUUGGACAGGCCUCUUUGACAGAUGGCACUGGUGAGGUGGAUUGAUGAUGAAUCUUCUGGCACACCUGGAGCAACUCCAGAACACAGUCGUGAGGAUAAUGGGAAUUUACUGAAACCCGUGGAAGGAAGCCUUUAAGGAAUGGAAAGAGUGGAUAAUAAAAUGCCUGACUGUUCUCCAAAAAUAAGGACCUUCAAAUAGGAGUGAUUGAAAUAAAUGACUACUUGCAUGUUAUGCUUUCAUUUGGGUGGAAUACUUCAUCAGAAUAAACUAUUGAUCUUGUGCUGUGUCAAAGUAACAGACUAGAACCUUCUUUCAAGUACCUGAAUUGAAAUGAAACUCAUUUUGAAUAAUAAAAACUCUAGAAACUC
rnacentral:lncRNA from 1 species